CUUGAUCUGAAGCAUAUUUCUUUCAAGGAGUAAUUUAAAUAGCUGGGUUGGUACUUCUUGCAGCUUUUAAAACCUGUUACAGAUUAAAAGGAGGAAAGAAAAAAGUGUCUGUGCAUUUGUGCCAAGUCAGCAAGACCUUGGAGAAGGCACUGCCACUGCUUUCCCUGAAGCCUCUGUACCAAAGGUAUUCAGUGCCCUUGGCUGUGUUUCAUCAGAACACAAGUAAUGAAACAGAACAAGAUGAGCAGAGGAGUGCUUUUGCUUCUUUUAAGAUUUCCCCCUUCACCCAAGUAGAGACAAACUUCAAGUUCGGAUGGAGAGAAAAUGGCAUUACUGGGAAAGAAGAGCAAGGUUAUGGAAGACAGAGAACUAGAGUGAAAGAGACCAAAGAACUACUUGGGAAACCAUGGGAUGUGCAGUUUCUGUUCCUGUGAGAGUCUCUUCUCCACAGAUGCUCAGAGAAAUGUGGAUUUUCCAGCCUAUUUGUGCUGGAGAGCACAGGGAGAA